CAGCCGCCGCGGUAAUACGUAGGGCGCAAGCGUUAUCCGGAAUUAUUGGGCGUAAAGAGCUCGUAGGCGGUUUGUCGCGUCUGCCGUGAAAGUCCGGGGCUCAACCCCGGAUCUGCGGUGGGUACGGGCAGACUAGAGUGAUGUAGGGGAGACUGGAAUUCCUGGUGUAGCGGUGAAAUGCGCAGAUAUCAGGAGGAACACCGAUGGCGAAGGCAGGUCUCUGGGCAUUAACUGACGCUGAGGAGCGAAAGCAUGGGGAGCGAACAGGAUUAGAUACCCGCGUAGUCCCUGUCUUUAUACA
rnacentral:rRNA from 1 species